CUUGAGGCUUGUUGAUGCUGACGACAGUACGUGCAGCGUGAACCAGCCACUGAAGACGGAAUGACUGCCAAGAUGACAAGGAUUGUGAUGUAUCUGAUGUUGGUUGUAACAAUGGUAGCGCCAGACGUUGAAGGCAUUUGUUCCAUACAUUGCCCAGCUGGACAGAUCUGUACGCCCACAGAAACUGGUGACGUGUGCUCACAAAUGGGAGAUGACGACACCGGUUUUGGUUUUGGAAACCCAGGGGGAUUUCCGGGCGGGAAAUAACAGUGUCGAGUGGUUUCUUCUGUGCAGGCAGAACGGUCAUGACCCUGAUGGCUUGAUUUCUUUCAAAAGUGUUCAAAUAAAACGAAUUUCGGAAAA